UACGGGGGGGGCAAGCGUUGUUCGGAAUUACUGGCGUAAGGGCGCGUAGGCGGUUCGCUAAGUCGGAUGUGAAAACUCUGGGCUCAACCCAGAGCCUGCAUCCGAAACUGGCGGGCUAGAGUUCUGGAGGGGUAGCGGAAUUCCUGGUGUAGCGGUGAAAUGCGUAGAUAUCAGGAGGAACACCGGUGGCGAAGGCGGCUACCUGGACAGAAACUGACGCUGAGGCGCGAAAGCUAGGGGAGCAAACAGG
rnacentral:rRNA from 1 species